rnacentral:rRNA from 1 species
CAUUCAUGGAGAGUUUGAUCCUGGCUCAGGACGAACGCUGGCGGCGUGCUUAACACAUGCAAGUCGAACGAUGAACCGGUUUCGGCCGGGGAUUAGUGGCGAACGGGUGAGUAACACGUGGGCAAUCUGCCCUGCACUCUGGGAUAAGCCCGG